AGAAAUUCAGUUUUGCCAAAGUACAUCUGGAAUGAAAUUUGUGUCUGCCCUUAUGGAGGGGAAAGCUAUUCUUCUUUGCCUUAUGGUGAUUGUGCAGCUAGGAAACUCCAUUCAUAUUGAGCAAUGCCAGAAGCGAAUUGGUUUUUUAAGCCCUUCAUGCACGGAACCAAAUUGCAAGAGGGCCUGCCAGAAUGUUUGGGGACGCGACGUCAUGAUAUCAGAGUGUUGGGUCGAAAACCCAUCCACGGCAUAUUGUUACUGUGUCGUAUGUUUCUAAACUUGCACUAAACCAGAUGUCAAGGGAUGGACAAUGAUGUGAUCUGUAAUAAAAUCUUCUUGUGACAUGCUUUUGAGAAUGCUUAUUGAUCAUCAAUUA